GACGAACGCUGGCGGCGUGCCUAACACAUGCAAGUCGAACGGGGAGUUAGCAAUAACUCCUAGUGGCGAACGGGUGAGUAACGCGUAGACAACCUGCCUCUAAACUGGGGACAACACCGCGAAAGUGGUGCUAAUACCGAAUGUGGUAACUUGAUCGCAUGAUCGAGUUAAGAAAGAUGGCCUCUAUUUAUAAGCUAUCGAUUAGAGAUGGGUCUGCGUCUGAUUAGCUAGUUGGUGAGGUAAUGGCUCACCAAGGCGACGAUCAGUAGCCGGUCUGAGAGGAUGAACGGCCACGCUGGGACUGAGAAACGGCCCAGACUCCUACGGGAGGCAGCAGUGGGGAAUCUUCCGCAAUGGACGAAGGUCUGACGGAGCAACGCCGCGUGAGUGAAGAAGGUCUUCGGAUUGUAAAGCUCUGUCGUUUGGGACGAACGUGGGUAGUGUGAAUAAUGCUAUCUAAUGACGGUACCAAAGGAGGAAGCCACGGCUAACUACGUGCCAGCCGCCGCAGUAA
rnacentral:rRNA from 1 species